UAACCGUCUUUAAUUUUACUCCCAGUUGAUGAUACGUGGAUCCUGGCCUUUUCUUAUUAACUUACCUUUUUAAAUUUCUAGUCCUGUAUAUGAUUCGUUCCUCAGCUCCCUUUCAUAAUUAUAGUUAAAUGUGUGGGAUUUCUAUUAAAUUACACUAAAAAUUAUUUAUUUUAUUUAAUAAGAUUGACUUGUAUCUAUUGACUGCUCGACCCUCCGUUUUACAUUGAAUAUCGUUUAUGAGUUUUUUUAUUUUGAGUUUUUUUUAUCGUUUAAUUAAAAUUUAUAUUUUUUCAAUUACUCGAGAAGAGUCCGAAAAUAAAAAUAAAAAUAAAAAUAAUUUAAUUUGGUAAAAUGGUAACUAAAAAUGAAAAAAAAUAAUCAAAAAAACAUUUUUUUGUAUUUUGUGAUUUUUUUGUCAAUGUUGAUGAAUAUUUUACAUUUUCGAACAAUUCUAAGCGACCAGCAAACUAAAAUAGCUAAAAUAAAAAAUAAAAAAAUCAUCACCCCAAACUGGGCUUAGUAGAACCAAUUACAGUUCAAUUUACUACUUGAACUUUUCAAAUGCUGUUCUGCCCCCUAAAUGAAAUUAUAUUUUUUUUGCUGGACUAAGGCUCCGUUUGGUAAUACUUAAAAAUCAAUAUUUUUUUAAACUUGCUCCUAAAAAAGUGAAGUUUUUUUGACUUUUUUUGAUUUUCUUGCUUUAUUUUAUCUAAAAAUAAACAAAAAAGCAAAAGCAAAAAAGCCAACUCUUACUAGCUUUUUUGCUUAUAAGCUUAAGAAAAAUCAGUCGAAAAGCCGAUACCAAACGGAGCCUAAAGUCCAGUUCGAACUAUGGAGUUUUUUUUUUCUUCUUGAUUUUCGAUUUUUUUUUGUAGGUUAUGGAUUUUUUUUUGGAAUGAUUGAUCAAAAUUUUAUAUUUUCUUGGUUCUCUUGACAAAAGAGCCUAAAAAUAUAAUUUUUUUAUCUAAUUCAAAAAAAAAAUUAAUUAAAAACGAGAAAAAAAAUAAUUUUUAUCCUUCUUUUGCAAACUUUUGUUCGAAUUAGAUUUUUUUCUAUAUUUUCGAAUUCCUCCCAUCAAGAGAAAUCGAAAAAAUAAAAAAAUUUAAUUAAACAACUAAAAAAGAUCAUUAAAAAAAUCACUCAAUAAAAAAAAUCCAUAAACUGUUCUUAAAUGAAAUUUCAUUCAAUGACAAAAACCUGUAAAUAUUGAAACCCUAAUUUCUCUUAUUAGCAGUUUUUUAAAAUUUUGUUAAUUGAGUGUUCUAAAAAUAGCCAUUAACAUGUUUAAAAAUGUUGUACAUUCUGCAUAACAGUGCGUGUAAUGUGUAAUGUAUAAUCAAAUUUAGUAUUAAUAUUUUUUACAGCAUAAGUUAAAAACACAAUUUUUUAUAUAUUUUUGGUGAUUUUUUUUUAACUUAUCCCCUCUUUUUUUGUUAACUUUUAAAUGUUUCUGAUAUAGAGGAAAGGAAAAACUAUAAUCUUUUAUAAAAUUAAAAAAAAAUGAUAUAGACAAAAUUUAGUAGAUUUUUUUUUCAAAUUUAAUAUAUAUUUAUAACUUUUAGGCUAAUAACUAGAAUUGAAAAGUAUUUUUUCUUUCAAAUUAGAAAAAAAAUAAGUAAAAAAAUACAAUUAUAAGCUUAAAAAUUUCUUUAAAAUAACGAAGUGGUCAAUUUUCCUUUUAUCCCUUCAAAGUUGAUCCAAAUUUUACUUUAGUCCUUAUAAUUCUACUUUUUUGCUCAAAAAUCUAAUUUCAUUAGACACGUGAUUAAUAUUGCAACUAAUUUAAAAUUAUAAGGUAUAGUUUGUUUAAAUUAAAACUAUAAAGACUAAAAUGAAACUUAAGUGAAACUAAAAGUAAAAUUGACGUGCGAAACCUUAGAAGUUAGAAGUCAAAAGGCAAAUUCAGCGCACACCCUCACUCCCCUUCGGCUAUCGGCUACCGUCGCCGCCAUUCUCACACCUCCUAUCCCCUAUUUGACCACCACCACACCUGCUCUCCACUCCCGUUUGGAUAAGAUUUUUUUGUUUUGUUUUUUUAAAUGCUUGGGUUUUCGAAUAUUUUUUUUUUUUACUGUUUGAUAGAAAUUUUAUAUUUUUUAAUUUCAGAAGUUCAAAAAUAUUUUUUUUUAAUUUAAAAAAAAUACUAACGACAUAAAAAAACCUUCUAUCUCCAACAAAUAUCUAAAAAUAAUUUUUUUCGUCUUUAGUAUUUUUUUAAAAAAAUUAGAUGAACAUGUUUAUAUUUUCGGACUCCUUUAGUCAAGAAGAACCGAAAAAUAUAAAAUUUUGAUUAAAUAGUUAGUAAAAAAAAUAAAACAAACUCGAACAUCAAGGCAACCAAAAAAAUCAAAAAAAUUAUUACCCCUAAUAGGAAUAGGGCAAUCCUUCCGGUACCUUCAAGAAUAAAACCUUAGAAGUCAAAAAGCCAAUUCUCUCCACACCCACACGCCCAGCACUACCGAGCACUACCGGCCACCACCGUUGCCAUUCUCACACCUCC
rnacentral:lncRNA from 1 species